rnacentral:rRNA from 1 species
GUGCCAGCAGCCGCGGUAAUACGGAGGGUGCAAGCGUUAAUCGGAAUUACUGGGCGUAAAGCGCGCGUAGGCGGUUAUUUAAGUCAGAUGUGAAAGCCCCGGGCUUAACCUGGGAAUGGCAUUUGAGACUGGAUGGCUAGAGUAUGGUAGAGGUGAGUGGAAUUUCAGGUGUAGCGGUGAAAUGCGUAGAGAUCUGAAGGAACAUCAGUGGCGAAGGCGACUCACUGGGCCAUUACUGACGCUGAGGUGCGAAAGCGUGGGUAGCAAACAGGAUUAGAUACCCUGGUAGUCCACGCCCUAAACGAUGUCAACUAGGUGUAUGGAGAAUUUAUUCUUUGUGUAUCGAAGCUAACGCGAUAAGUUGACCGCCUGGGAGUACGGUCGCAAGACUAAAACUCAAAUGAAUUGACGG